rnacentral:rRNA from 1 species
GGAAUAUUGGACAAUGGGCGAAAGCCUGAUCCAGCAAUGCCGCGUGAGUGAUUAAGGCCUUAGGGUUGUAAAGCUCUUUUACCCGGGAUGAUAAUGACAGUACCGGGAGACUAAGCCCCGGCUAACUCCGUGCCAGCAGCCGCGGUAAUACGGAGGGGGCUAGCGUUGUUCGGACUUACUGGGCGUAAAGCGCGCGUAGGCGGCUUUGUAAGUUAGAGGUGAAAGCCCGGAGCUUAACUCCGGAACUGCCUUUAAGACUGCAUCGCUAGAAUCGUGGAGAGGUGAGUGGAAUUCCGAGUGUAGAGGUGAAAUUCGUAGAUAUUGGGAAGAACACCAGUGGCGAAGGCGGCCACCUGGACCGGUACUGACGCUGAGGCGCGAAAGCGUGGGGAGCAAAC